rnacentral:rRNA from 1 species
CAGCCGCCACGGGAAUACGUAGGGUGCAAGCGUUAAUCGGAAUUACUGGGCGUAAAGCGUGCGCAGGCGGUUAUAUAAGACAGAUGUGAAAUCCCCGGGCUCAACCUGGGAACUGCAUUUGUGACUGUAUAGCUAGAGUACGGCAGAGGGGGAUGGAAUUCCGCGUGUAGCAGUGAAAUGCGUAGAUAUGCGGAGGAACACCGAUGGCGAAGGCAACCACCUGGGCCUGUACUGACGCUCAUGCACGAAAGCGUGGGGAGCAAACAGGAUUAGAUACCCCUGUAGUCCCUGUCUCUUAUAA